GGUUAAGCGACUAAGCGUACACGGUGGAUGCCCUGGCAGUCAGAGGCGAUGAAGGACGUGCUAAUCUGCGAUAAGCGUCGGUAAGGUGAUAUGAACCGUUAUAACCGGCGAUUUCCGAAUGGGGAAACCCAGUGUGUUUCGACACACUAUCAUUAACUGAAUCCAUAGGUUAAUGAGGCGAACCGGGGGAACUGAAACAUCUAAGUACCCCGAGGAAAAGAAAUCAACCGAGAUUCCCCCAGUAGCGGCGAGCGAACGGGGAGGAGCCCAGAGCCUGAAUCAGUGUGUGUGUUAGUGGAAGCGUCUGGAAAGGCGCGCGAUACAGGGUGACAGCCCCGUACACAAAAAUGCACAUGCUGUGAGCUCGAUGAGUAGGGCGGGACACGUGGUAUCCUGUCUGAAUAUGGGGGGACCAUCCUCCAAGGCUAAAUACUCCUGACUGACCGAUAGUGAACCAGUACCGUGAGGGAAAGGCGAAAAGAACCCCGGCGAGGGGAGUGAAAAAGAACCUGAAACCGUGUACGUACAAGCAGUGGGAGCACGCUUAGGCGUGUGACUGCGUACCUUUUGUAUAAUGGGUCAGCGACUUAUAUUCUGUAGCAAGGUUAACCGAAUAGGGGAGCCGAAGGGAAACCGAGUCUUAACUGGGCGUUAAGUUGCAGGGUAUAGACCCGAAACCCGGUGAUCUAGCCAUGGGCAGGUUGAAGGUUGGGUAACACUAACUGGAGGACCGAACCGACUAAUGUUGAAAAAUUAGCGGAUGACUUGUGGCUGGGGGUGAAAGGCCAAUCAAACCGGGAGAUAGCUGGUUCUCCCCGAAAGCUAUUUAGGUAGCGCCUCGUGAAUUCAUCUCCGGGGGUAGAGCACUGUUUCGGCAAGGGGGUCAUCCCGACUUACCAACCCGAUGCAAACUGCGAAUACCGGAGAAUGUUAUCACGGGAGACACACGGCGGGUGCUAACGUCCGUCGUGAAGAGGGAAACAACCCAGACCGCCAGCUAAGGUCCCAAAGUCAUGGUUAAGUGGGAAACGAUGUGGGAAGGCCCAGACAGCCAGGAUGUUGGCUUAGAAGCAGCCAUCAUUUAAAGAAAGCGUAAUAGCUCACUGGUCGAGUCGGCCUGCGCGGAAGAUGUAACGGGGCUAAACCAUGCACCGAAGCUGCGGCAGCGACGCUUAUGCGUUGUUGGGUAGGGGAGCGUUCUGUAAGCCUGUGAAGGUGUACUGUGAGGUAUGCUGGAGGUAUCAGAAGUGCGAAUGCUGACAUAAGUAACGAUAAAGCGGGUGAAAAGCCCGCUCGCCGGAAGACCAAGGGUUCCUGUCCAACGUUAAUCGGGGCAGGGUGAGUCGACCCCUAAGGCGAGGCCGAAAGGCGUAGUCGAUGGGAAACAGGUUAAUAUUCCUGUACUUGGUGUUACUGCGAAGGGGGGACGGAGAAGGCUAUGUUGGCCGGGCGACGGUUGUCCCGGUUUAAGCGUGUAGGCUGGUUUUCCAGGCAAAUCCGGAAAAUCAAGGCUGAGGCGUGAUGACGAGGCACUACGGUGCUGAAGCAACAAAUGCCCUGCUUCCAGGAAAAGCCUCUAAGCAUCAGGUAACAUCAAAUCGUACCCCAAACCGACACAGGUGGUCAGGUAGAGAAUACCAAGGCGCUUGAGAGAACUCGGGUGAAGGAACUAGGCAAAAUGGUGCCGUAACUUCGGGAGAAGGCACGCUGAUAUGUAGGUGAAGUCCCUCGCGGAUGGAGCUGAAAUCAGUCGAAGAUACCAGCUGGCUGCAACUGUUUAUUAAAAACACAGCACUGUGCAAACACGAAAGUGGACGUAUACGGUGUGACGCCUGCCCGGUGCCGGAAGGUUAAUUGAUGGGGUCAGCGCAAGCGAAGCUCUUGAUCGAAGCCCCGGUAAACGGCGGCCGUAACUAUAACGGUCCUAAGGUAGCGAAAUUCCUUGUCGGGUAAGUUCCGACCUGCACGAAUGGCGUAAUGAUGGCCAGGCUGUCUCCACCCGAGACUCAGUGAAAUUGAACUCGCUGUGAAGAUGCAGUGUACCCGCGGCAAGACGGAAAGACCCCGUGAACCUUUACUAUAGCUUGACACUGAACAUUGAGCCUUGAUGUGUAGGAUAGGUGGGAGGCUUUGAAGUGUGGACGCCAGUCUGCAUGGAGCCGACCUUGAAAUACCACCCUUUAAUGUUUGAUGUUCUAACGUUGACCCGUAAUCCGGGUUGCGGACAGUGUCUGGUGGGUAGUUUGACUGGGGCGGUCUCCUCCUAAAGAGUAACGGAGGAGCACGAAGGUUGGCUAAUCCUGGUCGGACAUCAGGAGGUUAGUGCAAUGGCAUAAGCCAGCUUGACUGCGAGCGUGACGGCGCGAGCAGGUGCGAAAGCAGGUCAUAGUGAUCCGGUGGUUCUGAAUGGAAGGGCCAUCGCUCAACGGAUAAAAGGUACUCCGGGGAUAACAGGCUGAUACCGCCCAAGAGUUCAUAUCGACGGCGGUGUUUGGCACCUCGAUGUCGGCUCAUCACAUCCUGGGGCUGAAGUAGGUCCCAAGGGUAUGGCUGUUCGCCAUUUAAAGUGGUACGCGAGCUGGGUUUAGAACGUCGUGAGACAGUUCGGUCCCUAUCUGCCGUGGGCGCUGGAGAACUGAGGGGGGCUGCUCCUAGUACGAGAGGACCGGAGUGGACGCAUCACUGGUGUUCGGGUUGUCAUGCCAAUGGCACUGCCCGGUAGCUAAAUGCGGAAGAGAUAAGUGCUGAAAGCAUCUAAGCACGAAACUUGCCCCGAGAUGAGUUCUCCCUGACUCCUUGAGAGUCCUGAAGGAACGUUGAAGACGACGACGUUGAUAGGCCGGGUGUGUAAGCGCAGCGAUGCGUUGAGCUAACCGGUACUAAUGAACCGUGAGGCUUAACCUU
rnacentral:rRNA from 1 species